GACGAGGGGAGCAAGCGUUGUUCGGAUUCACUGGGCGUAAAGGGUGCGUAGGUGGCGAGGUAAGUCGGAUGUGAAAGCUCGGAGCUCAACUCCGGAUGGCAUUGGAAACUACCUUGCUCGAGGGUUGGAGGGGGGACUGGAAUUCUCGGUGUAGCAGUGAAAUGCGUAGAUAUCGAGAGGAACACCAGUGGCGAAGGCGAGUCCCUGGACAACUCCUGACACUGAGGCACGAAAGCUAGGGGAGCAAACAGG
rnacentral:rRNA from 1 species